rnacentral:rRNA from 1 species
GACGAACGCUGGCGGCGUGCUUAACACAUGCAAGUCGAACGGAAAGGCCCUGCUUUUGUGGGGUGCUCGAGUGGCGAACGGGUGAGUAACACGUGAGUAACCUGCCCUUGACUUUGGGAUAACUUCAGGAAACUGGGGCUAAUACCGGAUAGGAGCUCCUGCUGCAUGGUGGGGGUUGGAAAGUGUCGGCGGUUGGGGAUGGACUCGCGGCUUAUCAGCUUGUUGGUGGGGUAGUGGCUUACCAAGGCUUUGACGGGUAGCCGGCCUGAGAGGGUGACCGGCCACAUUGGUACUGAGAUACGGCCCAGACGCCUACGGGAGGCAGCAGUGGAGAAUAUUGCACAAUGGGCGGAAGCCUGAUGCAGCAACCCCGCGUGCGGGAUGACGGCCUUCGGGUUGUAAACCGCUUUCGCCUGUGACGAAGCGUGAGUGACGGUAAUGGGUAAAGAAGCACCGGCUAACUACGUG